rnacentral:rRNA from 1 species
AUUGAACGCUGGCGGAACGCUUUACACAUGCAAGUCGAACGGCAGCACGGACUUCGGUCUGGUGGCGAGUGGCGAACGGGUGAGUAAUGUAUCGGAACGUGCCCAGUCGUGGGGGAUAACGUAGUGAAAAUUACGCUAAUACCGCAUACGGUCUAUGGAUGAAAGCGGGGGAUCGCAAGACCUCGCGCGAUUGGAGCGGCCGAUAUCAGAUUAGGUAGUUGGUGGGGUAAAGGCCCACCAAGCCAACGAUCUGUGGCUGGUCUGAGAGGACGACCAGCCACACUGGAACUGAGACACGGUCCAGACUCCUACGGGAGGCAGCAGUGGGGAAUUUUGGACAAUGGGCGAAAGCCUGAUCCAGCCAUUCCGCGUGCAGGAUGAAGGCCCUCGGGUUGUAAACUGCUUUUGUACAGAACGAAAAGGUUUCUACUAAUACUAGGAGCUCAUGACGGUACUGUAAGAAUAAGCACCGGCUAACUACGUGCCAGCCGCCGCCGUAA